CUUGCACAAUGGCCGAAGCUGAUGCAGCGACGCCGCGUGAGGGAUGACGGCUUUCGGGCGCAAACCUCUUUCAGUUGGGACGAAGCCCUUCGGGGUGACGGUACCUUCAGAAGAAGCACCGGCUAACUACGUGCCAGCAGCCGCGGUAAUACGUAGGGUGCGAGCGUUAUCCGGAAUUAUUGGGCGUAAAGAGCUCGUAGGCGGUUUGUCACGUCUGCUGUGAAAGCUCGGGGCUUAACCUCGAGUUUGCAGUGGGUACGGGCAGGCUAGAGUGCAGUAGGGGAGACUGGAAUUCCUGGUGUAGCGGUGAAAUGCGCAGAUAUCAGGAGGAACACCGAUGGCGAAGGCAGGUCUCUGGGCUGUUACUGACACUGAGGAGCGAAAGCAUGGGGAGCGAACAGGAUUAGAUACCCUGGUAGUCCAUGCCGUAAACGUUGGGCACUAGGUGUGGGGAACAUUUCCACGUUUUCCGCGCCGUAGCUAACGCAUUAAAUGCCCCGCCUGGGGAGUACGGCCGCAAGGCUAAAACUCAAAGGAAUUGACGGGGGCCCGCACAAGCGGCGGAGCAUGCGGAUUAAUUCGAUGCAACGCGAAGAACCUUACCAAGGCUUGACAUGCACUAGAUCGCCCUAGAGAUAGGGUUUCCCUUCGGGGCUGGUGUACAGGUGGUGCAUGGUUGUCGUCAGCUCGUGUCGUGAGAUGUUGGGUUAAGUCCCGCAACGAGCGGAACCCCUAUUCUAUGUUGCCAGCAAUUCGGUUGGGGACUCAUGGAAGACUGCCGGGGUCAACUCGGAGGAAGGUGGGGACGACGUCAAAUCAUCAUGCCCCUUAUGUCUUGGGCUUCACGCAUGCUACAAUGGCCGGCACAAUGGGUUGCGAGACUGUGAGGUUGAGCUAAUCCCAUAAAACCGGUCUCAGUUCGGAUUGGGGUCUGCAACUCGACCCCAUGAAGUCGGAGUCGCUAGUAAUCGCAGAUCAG
rnacentral:rRNA from 1 species